rnacentral:pre_miRNA from 1 species
CAGCGCCUUUUGCCUCGCCCGCUCUCCCCGCCACGUGGUGGUCAGGCGAGGGCCUCGGGGUAGCAC